GAGUGUUACCGCUCUUCUCGAAUUUGUCUAGCAGGCUUUCUGCUUUUUAUUGGAAAGUGCCCCC